rnacentral:piRNA from 1 species
UGAAAUGAUGAAUGUGUGUUGUUGUAAGUG